GAUGAACGCUGGCGGCGUGCCUAAUACAUGCAAGUAGAACGCACAGGAUGCACCGUAGUUUACUACACCGUAUUCUGUGAGUUGCGAACGGGUGAGUAACGCGUAGGUAACCUGCCUGGUAGCGGGGGAUAACUAUUGGAAACGAUAGCUAAUACCGCAUAAGAACAUUUACUGCAUGGUAGAUGUUUAAAAGGUGCAAGAGCAUCACUACCAGAUGGACCUGCGUUGUAUUAGCUAGUUGGUGAGGUAACGGCUCACCAAGGCAACGAUACAUAGCCGACCUGAGAGGGUGAUCGGCCACACUGGGACUGAGACACGGCCCAGACUCCUACGGGAGGCAGCAGUAGGGAAUCUUCGGCAAUGGGGGGAACCCUGACCGAGCAACGCCGCGUGAGUGAAGAAGGUUUUCGGAUCGUAAAGCUCUGUUGUUAAGGAAGAACGUGUGUGAGAGUGGAAAGUUCACACAGUGACG
rnacentral:rRNA from 1 species